UACGUAGGCAGCGAGCGUUGUUCGGAGUUACUGGGCGUAAAGAGUGCGUAGGCGGUUUUCUAAGUUUGGUGUGAAAUCUCCCGGCUUAACUGGGAGGGUGCGCCGAAGACUGGAAGGCUUGAGUAUGGGAGAGGUAAGCGGAAUUCCAGGUGUAGCGGUGAAAUGCGUAGAUAUCUGGAGGAACACCGGUGGCGAAGGCGGCAUCCUGGACCGGCAUUGACGCUGAGGCGCGAAAGCCAGGGGAGCAAACGGG
rnacentral:rRNA from 1 species